UACGUAGGGUGCGAGCGUUGUCCGGAAUUAUUGGGCGUAAAGAGCUCGUAGGCGGUGUGUCGCGUCGGCCGUGAAAACCUGCAGCUUAACUGUGGGCUUGCGGUCGAUACGGGCAUCACUGGAGUUCGGCAGGGGAGACUGGAAUUCCUGGUGUAGCGGUGAAAUGCGCAGAUAUCAGGAGGAACACCGGUGGCGAAGGCGGGUCUCUGGGCCGAUACUGACGGCUGAGGAGCGAAAGUGUGGGGAGCGAACAGG
rnacentral:rRNA from 1 species